rnacentral:rRNA from 1 species
UACGGGGGGGGGCAAGCGUUGUUCGGAAUUACUGGGCGUAAAGGGCUCGUAGGCGGCCAACUAAGUCAGACGUGAAAUCCCUCGGCUUAACCGGGGAACUGCAUCUGAUACUGGAUGGCUUGAGACCGGGAGAGGUGAGUGGAAUUCCCAGUGUAGCGGUGAAAAUGCGUAGAUAUUGGGAGGAACACCAGUGGCGAAGGCGGCUCACUGGACCGGUACUGACGCUGAUGUGCGAAAGCGUGGGGGAGCAAACAGG